AUUAAAUCCGCUAUAGAAUUUGUCUGUGUAGUUAAAGAGUGUCUAUUGUCAAGACUUGACAAACGGGUAGAGCGCAUUCUUAUGAGAAGGCGUGCCCCACAAAACACACUUUCGAUACAGAGGCCAUUAGUCGAACAGGGCUACAGGAAUAAUCAGGAACCAUGAGGUGGAGAAAUUUAUAUAUAAUGAUUCUGUGGUUCGCCACUAUAGCACUAGUUUUGAAGAUUUUAGGAUAUCUUCUGCCAUGGUGGUUUGUGGCUCGUGCAACAGGAUCAGAGACGGACCGAUUCUUUAUUGGAAUUGUGUUUGGUCUAGACUGUGCUUCUAAAGUCAGUGUACAGAACUGUACAGAAUACUCGAUUGGAAAUGCUCCUGUUGAAAUUGCGUCAUUAGUGGAGUCUGCCUCUAUGCUGACAUUACAGAUAGCGAUGUCUGUCAAUUUGGGCCUCCUGUUUAUUUCCUGUAUGAUCAUUGUCGGUUCCUCCGUUACCAAGACUUAUAACCAAGGACUUAUGGUCUUGACCGGUAUACUAGUAGCAUUUUCGUGUGUGGCUUACUGUGUGAGUUUAGGAUUUUUUAUCUACAUCCAUAUCAACGAUAUCAAGAAAAUAGAAACAUACGAGUACAACGCCACCAACUUCCCAUGGUCCAUGUUGGUUACUUCAGUAGCAGCGCUCUUCCUUUUUGCUACGUUGAUUCUAUUGGUUGUCGCUCUUUGUAGAUGGCACGACGAUGACGAAGAUAGUCUUGUUAGUUACGACGAAAGAAAGAGAGUUGAGUAUCCAGCUGAAACAAGAUACGUGACAUAUGACAACCCGAACUCCAAACAAUACAUGAUGGAGCGUCCGGUGGUUCAUUCGAGUAACAGCAGAGGUUAUAAGUAUGCAGUUGACGCGCCGAGGUCACACAUGCAAGCGAUUACAUAUCCAGCUGAAACUAUGUAUAGACCGUACUCCGCUGCUAGGAGAUACUAGACCAAUUAUGGUGCUAGUUUGGGGUUUUAGUUCAUAAAAUCCCUCAAUUUGAUUGUAAAGGGUAUUAAUAAUUAACAGUUAACUUUGUUAUUAUGUUUAUUAUGUAUACAAGUGUUUGAAAGUUAAGAUGGAAACUUGUAGCAUCUUGGUGCAGCUUCUCCGAAAACAGCAACCAGUCGAGUACUUUAAAAGUACAUACGAACAACUUCCAUCAAAGAUCUCGGUAUCUACUUACAUAAAUAAAUAAUGUAUAUAUCCUACAUUAAUACUAGUCGUAAUACUCACCCCAUAGGCAUAAUAUAUUUGAAAUUAUAUUUAUCGUAAACCUUCAGUAUGUUUGUACUUCAUGACAUUUUUAUAUUAGCGACAAAAAUCACAUUUUGCAAUAAACACCUCUAUAUAAA